rnacentral:tRNA from 1 species
CAAGAGGUAUUUUAACACCCAGAAUUCUGGCUUUGGGAGCCAGGGGCGGGGGUGAAAAACCCUCCCUUUUGA